rnacentral:rRNA from 1 species
AUGGCCGACCUCCGCAGCUCCUCCUCCCGCCCCCGUAGCCCUAAGCCCGGUGAUUGGGAGAGGUGUUCAAUUCCACACAGUCGAUUAGUCGAACUGCAGACUAAGGGAUUUCUCCCUCCAGCGUAUAUGGUUCCUGUCCGAGCCGGGCUCGCCACCUACAAUGGCGGGGAGCAAGCGGAGAGCUUCCCAAGCCCCUCUAGGGGGGAGCGGGUAUGCCUUGUUCCUUAUUUAUUAAGGGGACUCGGAUUUCCAAUUCAUCCGUUCCUCCGCGGGCUCCUGGAGUUUUACAGCCUCCAACUGCAUAAUUUCACCCCUGCUUCCAUAUUACACAUCGCCGGCUAUGUUGCCCUUUGCGAGUUAUUCCUGGGCUGCGAGGCUCAUUUUGAGCUGUGGAAAAGGUUAUUUUGCCUCGUCCCCCGCACACAGAAGGGGUCACUUUAUCAAGUGGGCGGAGCCGAAAUAUGGCGCAUCGCCGAAACCGGUUACCUGUCCGGUACUCCAAAGAAGACGUCCGAAGACUGGCCUUUGGAAUGGUUUUAUAUGGAGGACGUCCCCCUUCCGGACCCUGUUCGGUGGGGUCUUCUUGAGUUCAACAAUGCUCCUUUGAAGAAACGCCGAAGUUGGCGCCCACGGAGCCCCCAGGAGGAAGACAAUGGGGAAGUCCUUUACCUGAUGAACCGGAUUAAAGCGCUGGCUCAAUCAGGAUUGACAGUAAUCGAGGUUAUGUCAAUAUGCAUAAUGCGGGGAGUGUAG